rnacentral:lncRNA from 1 species
CAGAGUGUAUCAGAGCGAAUCUGGAGUGACAGCUUUCAAAUUCCAGUUUCCAUGUAAAUGAGAGGCAGAAAUUCUGACCCCGGUGCUGGGAGGAGGCUGUGACUGAUCCACAGUUGUUGGAAGGGCACUAAUUUUUCAUGUGGCGAUAUGCCUGUUUAGUCACUGUCCUGAAAAGACGUUAUUCUUCAGAAUUGCCGGGUCAUUAUACUCUUUUAGCUUUGUCAGAAGGGCUAAGUAGCUGCAGAGCCCAAGUUUGUGUCUCCCCUCCCAGCUUGGCAGUACAUGUGGGAUUUGUUAGCCAUGGCAGCACAGGUGAGUGUGUGCCGGUGACUGACUC